rnacentral:rRNA from 1 species
AUUGAACGCUGGCGGCAUGCCUUACACAUGCAAGUCGAACGGCAGCAUGAUCUAGCUUGCUAGAUUGAUGGCGAGUGGCGAACGGGUGAGUAAUACAUCGGAACGUGCCCUGUAGUGGGGGAUAACUAGUCGAAAGAUUAGCUAAUACCGCAUACGACCUGAGGGUGAAAGUGGGGGACCGCAAGGCCUCAUGCUAUAGGAGCGGCCGAUGUCUGAUUAGCUAGUUGGUGAGGUAAAGGCUCACCAAGGCGACGAUCAGUAGCUGGUCUGAGAGGACGAUCAGCCACACUGGGACCGAGACACGGCCCAGACUCCUACGGGAGGCAGCAGUGGGGAAUUUUGGACAAUGGGCGAAAGCCUGAUCCAGCAAUGCCGCGUGUGUGAAGAAGGCCUUCGGGUUGUAAAGCACUUUUGUCCGGAAAGAAAUGGCUCUGGUUAACACCUGGGGUCGAUGACGGUACCGGAAGAAUAAGGACCGGCUAACUACGUGCCAGCAGCCGCAGUAA